rnacentral:rRNA from 1 species
UACGUAGGGUGCGAGCGUUGGCCGGAAUUAUUGGGCGUAAAGAGCUUGUAGGCGGUUUGUCGCGUCUGCUGUGAAAAUCCGGGGCUCAACCCCGGACUUGCAGUGGGUACGGGCAGGCUAGAGUGUGGUAGGGGAGACUGGAAUUCCUGGUGUAGCGGUGAAAUGCGCAGAUAUCAGGAGGAACACCGAUGGCGAAGGCAGGUCUCUGGGCCACUACUGACGCUGAGAAGCGAAAGCAUGGGGAGCGAACAGG